UGGAAUAAUGGAAUAGGAAGUGUGGUCUUAUUUCGUUGGUUUCUAGGACCGCCGUAAUGAUUAAUAGGGACAGUCGGGGGCACCAGUAUUCAAUCGUCAGAGGUGAAAUUCUUGGAUCGAUUGAAGACUAACUACUGCGAAAGCAUUUGCCAAGGAUGUUUUCAUUUAUCAGGAACGAAAGUUAGGGGAUCGAAGACGAUCAGAUACCGUCGUAGUCUUAACCAUAAACUAUGCCGACUAGGGAUCGGACGGUGUUAUUUCUUGACCCGUUCGGCACCUUACGAGAAAUCAAAGUGCUUGGGCUCCAGGGGGUGUAUGGUCGCAAGGCUGAAACUUAAAGAAAUUGACGGAAGGGCACCACCAGGGGUGGAGCCUGCGGCUUAAUUUGACUCAACACGGGGAAACUCACCAGGUCCAGACACAACGAGGAUUGACAGAUUGAGAGCUCUUUCUUGAUUUUGUGGGUGGUGGUGCAUGGCCGUUCUUAGUUGGUGGAGUGAUUUGUCUGCUUAAUUGCGAUAACGAACGAGACCUUAACCUGCUAACUAGUCCGUAUUACCCCGGUAGUACGCCGACUUCUUAGAGGGACUAUCGGCUC
rnacentral:rRNA from 1 species